GGAAGGCGGUGCAAAUCCGCCACGGUCCCGCCACUGUGAUCGGCUGCGCUUCCUGAACCACCGUCCCGACGCAUCGGGAUGGGAAGGGCCCGCAAGGGCAGGCAGC
rnacentral:ncRNA from 2 species